rnacentral:rRNA from 1 species
UACAGAGGUCCCAAGCGUUGUUCGGAUUCACUGGGCGUAAAGGGUGCGCAGGUGGUCGGGUAAGUCUGACGUGAAAUCCCGCAGCUUAACUGCGGAAUGGCAUUGGAUACUAUUCGGCUAGAGGGUUGGAGGGGGACUGGAAUUCUCGGUGUAGCAGUGAAAUGCGUAGAUAUCGAGAGGAACACCAGUGGCGAAGGCGACUCACUGGACAUGUAUUGACGCUGGAGGUGCGAAAGCGUGGGAGCAAACAGG